CAUUAAUUAACGUAGACUUUAUAGCUCUUCAAAGGAGGAAUACUUAGAGUUUUACCUCGAUAUCAACCUGAAACAACUAGGUGUUCACCAACUUAUUAAGAUUAAGCCACAACACAAAUUGUUUGUUCAUUUGUUGAUUUCAAAAAAGUUAUGGAAGAACGAGAGCAGAGAAGGCUACGCAUAAAAUGGACACCGAAUCUUAAUGAGAAAUUCAAUGAAGCUAUCCGCAGAUUAGGAGAAAAAGCCACUGCCAUACCGAUCUUGGAGUAUAUGAAUGUGCCACAAUUAAAUCGCAAACAGGUUGAGAACCGUCUACAGCAAUACAGAGUACAGAAACGACAAGCUCAACAUGCU